GAUGAAGAACGUAGCGAAAUGCGAUAAGUAAUGUGAAUUGCAGAAUUCAGUGAAUCAUCGAAUCUUUGAACGCACCUUGCGCCCUUUGGCUAUUCCGAAGGGCAUGCCUGUUUGAGUAUCAUGAACACCUCAACUCUCAUGGUUUGCCAUGAUGAGCUUGGACUUUGGGGGUCUUGCCGGCCUAUGGGUCGGCUCCUCUCAAAUUAAUCAGCUUGCCAGUGUUUGGUGGCAUCACAGGUGUGAUAACUAUCUACGCUUGUGGUUUUCCAUCAGGUAACCUUCAGUGAUGGAGGUUCGCUGGGGCUCAUAAAUGUCUCUCCUCAGUGAGGACAGCUUUUUUGAACGUUUGAUCUCAAAUCAGGUAGGACUACCCGCUGAACUUAAGCAUAUCAAUAAGCGAGGA
rnacentral:misc_RNA from 1 species